GUAAGUUAUCUGCUGCGAGUGACUGUGCGUCUUUGUCUGCUAUCUCUGUCCUGUGUGACUGCGGGCUGCUGCUCUGUGGUCCGGAGGCCUCGGGCCCUGCCUUUGUCUCUUCACACCCCCUUUGUACCAGCCCUGAGCUGCUCCUUUCACUGACCGUCAGCCUCCUCUCCCUCGGGGGGAGUACAGCCCCAGGCUAGAACUGAACAGGUCUGAGGUCUGAAGAUGUCUGGAGGGGGAUUUCAGUCUGUGAACAACACUGCUGGCUCACAGGUGUGGCAUCGACACAGACACACAUGUACAUUUAUUGAAAAGUUCAUACAUACCACGUGCCAGAAUCAAACUUGUACUUCACGGUUUCAACACAGGAGAACUUGUGAUCUAAAGAGAAACAAAGGAGGAUAUGCAUUCAAGUUACAAAAACAAUGUUUUCAGUAUUCUGUAGUGAACAGGUUCACCCUGCCAAACAGCAUGCGUUUUCAACACUCUGCAUUCCUGUUACCGAUCACAUGCAAAUACAUACUUGCCUGUUAUUAAGAGGAUAAAGCUAGAGGCAAGUGCCACAGCUCAAAGACAUUAAAUCAAAGUUUGACUUAUUUGUGCUUUAACAUAUCUGGAGUCAUCUUUCAUAAACCAAUGACAGAAAAUCAAGUAAUGAUGAGAAGACUGUUUGUUGCUUUAAAACACAUCUGAUCUGUUAACAAUGAGAAAUGCCUGAUUGAAGUUAUUUUGGCUUUUUAAGUACAAAUUAUAUAAUCAGAGACAUUGUUUAGGGUUCUAAAAGCUGCCACACCUUUAAAGAUAAAAAACCUGCAAGAGAGGUUGUUUUUUUUUAGUUUUACAGUCAUCAUGCUGAUUAUAGAAAGUUAAGCCAAAGAAGGCUGAUACACGGUAAUCACUACCUGUGAACACCACAUGGCACUUUCCUGUUCUUCAUAUUGACAUGGUAUUUUCUGCUUUCUCUGCACGGGUAUGUAUUUUAGUUCUAUGAGUAUCAGUAUGCAUCUACUUGACAAUAAACAAAAUAGAGAAUCUAAUAUCUGUUAGCGGCUGUUACUUACUGUAAGGAUCAGCCAGGAUGCAAAGUGUCAGCUGCACCAUGCUUCUCACCUCCCUCACCCCGAACAUCUCCUCUGAUACAGCAGGGAGACCCGCAACUGCACAAACAGUUAAGGAUGAAGACCAGUUUAUGCUGCUUCACACUGUAAUGUGUAAGACUUUGUGAUGUGAACGCUGCUAGGGUUAGUUUCCCUGUUAGAUAAGUUAACCUGAACUGAACUAUGAAAGGAGAGUUUAUACAUUCAUUAGAAAUUACGUUUUGAUUAUACAUUCAACAUUAGUACACAAGCAAGUAAAAGAUACAUUCCAACAUGGAGGCUGGUGUGUGCUUGGCCACAGGGCCAGCGUUGGGGCAGCAUUUGUGAAACUCCUUCCUCACGUCCACAAAUGAAAGGAAACAUUCAGGAAGGACAAGAUUCUGUGAAGAAAGAAGGAACAACACAAAGAAUUUAGUUUCCGCAGUAUGGUGACCUUACAUGGAAAUUGGAUACAGCAGGAAGCAAACGAUCAAAAAGAUGAAACAGAGAAGAUGCAGACGAAAAGAUUUGUUCAUGCCGACAUCAUCCCGUGUCAGAGUUACAACCCGGAACAAACAUAGGAGGAAAACAUCCAUCAUAAAGUCAUGACCUCUUGACCUCAAUGCCCACAUCAUGAGGGGAUAAAAGCUUAUAUUUAACACAUUUCAAUACUACCAUGAAUUCUAAACCCUCAAGGCUAAAAUGUUGUUUAUUAGAUAGUAUGUCAUUUAAGCUAUGAACAAAAAAAAGUAUGAGAAAUAGGAUUACUGUUAUUCUAUAUUCAAACUUCUAUUUUUUUUUAAUCAAGGGCUUACAUUUCAUAUUUUCACAAUACCAGUUAUAGGAAUGUUUUUAUUUUUUUUACAGUUUCUCCCUUCAGGCAGUGGAAAAAAAAACUAUUACUUUUUUGGAGGCUUCUGGGUGGAGGGCCUGUCGGACGAUCAGGGGGCUGUCGACGCAAAGUGUGUAAGAGCUUCUGCCCAGAGUUUUCAGUUCUGAUGACACCGACUGCUGGAACUGCACAGAGAAACAGAGGGGAAGGGCAAAAGAAGAUGAAACAUUCAUUUUAUUAGAAUAAUACGUCAGAAUUUCUACAGAUCAAAUGCUUGUAUUAUACAAUAUGUAACUUCCAGAAAAAAACAACUAUUAAUUUUUAUAAUAAACCUGUUUAUUAUUGUUCAAGUGUCUACCGUACAAAAACCAUGACCUACGUAAAAGUUAAGAAAACAAUCAGACUCAUGUGCAACAAAAGUGAAGGUGGUGUCAUGUUUGACAUUUCACUGUUUGUGUUUGUUUCUCGGGAGGAACGAGGCUUGUAAAACAGGUUUUUGUGUUUGCUUAGUGGCGAAUGAGGCAGACAAAAGGAGAGGAAUGAUCACACCCCUAAUCACCAGGAUCACACUUUUCUCACAGCGUGACCAACACUCCCAGCCAGAGGAGAGGAAAAACAACCCAUACGAGUCCAACCUGCCCGUCUCAUCUCGACGUAAACGCUGACGCUGGCCACAUCACCCAAUCCUAAACACCAGCAACUCCCACAUGUGUGCAUGUUUAUUUAUAACCACCACAUUAAAUGAGCCCAUUCCUUUUGUUGUGUCAAUGUGUUAUUGGCAACAGAGUCCAUCCUUUUAGUAUCAACACAGUGAGGCUAAUGACAUCUGAGGUCAUGAUUUUAAUUUAAGAGCAGCGAUGUUCAAGUCAUUUAUGGAAGGUUAAUAACUCAAAUGUAGACUGCUGGAAAUUUGUAACAACAACAACAAAACUUCAUAAACCAACAUCUUGGGCACUCAGUGCUGCAUGGACACCCAGUUAAAGUCCUCUGGUGAAAUCAAGUCAAAUUCUCUUUCACCUUUUUGCACCAGCUAGAUCUACGAAGUGGUCAGACAAUCAGUGUGUGGAGCACAUACUAAAAUCAAGACAACAACACAGACAGGCAAAUCAAAACAAGUGAAAGUUGUUGAUUCCUGGUGAGAAAUGCUUUGGACCAAAUAAUGUGAAUGUAAAUAAACUUCUGAAAUUAA